UACAGAGAGGGCAAGCGUUGUUCGGAAUGACUGGGCGUAAAGGGCGCGUAGGCGGUUUGUUAAGUUGGAUGUGAAAUCCCCGGGCUUAACCUGGGAACUGCAUUCGAUACUGGCAGACUUGAGGCCGAGAGAGGAAAGCGGAAUGACGAGUGUAGAGGUGAAAUUCGUAGAUAUUCGUCGGAACACCAGAGGCGAAGGCGGCUUUCUGGCUCGGACCUGACGCUGAGGCGCGAAAGCGUGGGGAG
rnacentral:rRNA from 1 species